GGGGGGGGGGGGGGGGGGGGGGGGGGGGGGGGGGGGAAGGGGGGGGGGGUGGGGUGGGGGGGUGGGGGGGGGGCGAGCGGGGGAGGAACACGUGGGUGACCGGCCAUUGACUGUGGGAUAACGGCAGGGAACGGGGGCUAAUACCGGAUAGGGGCUCCUGACGCCUGGGGGGGGGUGGAAAGUAUCGGGGGGUGGGGAUGGACUCGCGGCUUAUCAGCUGGUGGGUGGGGUAGUGGCUUACCAAGGCUUUGACGGGUAGCCGGCCUGAGAGGGUGACCGGCCACAUUGGGACUGAGAUACGGCCCAGACUCCUACGGGAGGCAGCAGUGGGGAAUAUUGCACAAUGGGCGGAAGCCUGAUGCAGCAACGCCGCGUGCGGGAUGACGGCCUUCGGGUUGUAAACCGCUUUCGCCUGUGACGAAGCGUGAGUGACGGUAAUGGGUAAAGAAGCACCGGCUAACUACGUG
rnacentral:rRNA from 1 species